rnacentral:rRNA from 1 species
GACGAACGCUGGCGGCGUGCCUAAUACAUGCAAGUAGAACGCUGAAGGAGGAGCUUGCUCUUCUGGAUGAGUUGCGAACGGGUGAGUAACGCGUAGGUAACCUGCCUGGUAGCGGGGGAUAACUAUUGGAAACGAUAGCUAAUACCGCAUAACAGUAGAUGUUGCAUGACAUUUACUUAAAAGGUGCAAUUGCAUCACUACCAGAUGGACCUGCGUUGUAUUAGCUAGUUGGUGGGGUAACGGCUCACCAAGGCGACGAUACAUAGCCGACCUGAGAGGGUGGUCGGCCACACUGGGACUGAGACACGGCCCAGACUCCUACGGGAGGCAGCAGUAGGGAAUCUUCGGCAAUGGACGGAAGUCUGACCGAGCAACGCCGCGUGAGUGAAGAAGGUUUUCGGAUCGUAAAGCUCUGUUGUAAGAGAAGAACGAGUGUGAGAGUGGAAAGUUCACACUGUGACGGUAUCUUACCAGAAAGGGACGGCUAACUACGCG